rnacentral:lncRNA from 1 species
GUCCUAUAGGUAAAAUUGUUGCUCUUCUUCCUUAUAGUUAUGAUUUAAAAAGUACUUUAAACUGGUUUAUGUUGCUAAUAUUUUUAUACUCAUCCUUUUCAGUGUUGUUCCAGCACAUUGCAUCUUGAAAUGUAGUUUUCCCCUUAAAUUAAAUUCCCCUCCUCUCUCUAAAAAUCACUUUUAAAAGGAAGUGAACCUUUGCUUCUUUAUAAAUCACUAAUGCAGUGUCUGUAGGAAGUACAGCAUGUGUUGCUAUAGAAAAGUGGGAGUUUUAAUUCCUCUUUAAUUCAGAAUAAAAGUUAAAUAAUCUUUAAACUGACCUUGUAAACACUUAAUUCCUCAUAUAAAUUUAAUUCUGAAUUACGCACACAUGCGCACACAGUGGAUUGCUGCUCCGCUCAAGACCAGGAAGUGGGCGUGGGCUCUCCAGCAAUUGGCCCUGGAGCACAUGUAACUCGCUCCGGUGGACAAUGUUGUGAAAUAAUUAAUCUACGAUAUUAUUGCAGUCCAAACAAAACCCACGUUGCAAACCAUUGAACCAAACGGCAGCCAUGAUGAAAGUCUGAGCUCUGUCUGUUCCUGAUGAACAGAGAUAUUUGAGCCAAACAGACAGACAGACAGACAGACAGACAGACAGACAGACAGACAGACAGACAGAGAUUCCUUGUUUUAGUAAAGAACUUUGGACAGUUUUGGGUUGGAUGAGAUUUUAAAUCUGGUGUUUUUAAGAAUGAUCCAGUCUUGUAACAAAGAUCAUCUUCAGUGUGUAUUAAACCUUUUGUGACCAGCCUUAGAAUCCAUGAAGACAAAGUCCUGAUUGUAGCGUGAACGGCACAUUGAUGUAGGAGUUGGAAUCCCCUGUUUGUAUCGUGCAUUUAUGACUUCAUGCACAUUCUGCAGCUGAGGGACCUCAAUGCUGCACCACCAGCCCACAGCCCAGCACCAUCAGCCUACCAGUGGAACCAUCAGCCUACCAGUGGAACCAUCAACCUACCAAUAGAACCAUCAGCCUACCAGUGGAACCAUCAACCUACCAGUGGAACCAUCAGCCUACCAGUGGAACAAUCUGCCUACCAAUGGAACCAUCAGCCUACCAGUGGAACCAUCAACCUACCAGUGGAACCAUCAACCUACCAAUAGAACCAUCAGCCUACCAGUGGAACCAUCAACCUACCAGUGGAACCAUCACCCUACCAGUGGUAAUAUCAGUUUACCAAUAGAACCAUCAGCCUACCAGUGGAACCAUCAGCCUACCAAUAAAACCAUCAGCAUACCAGUGGAACCA